rnacentral:rRNA from 1 species
UACGAAGGGGGGCUAGCGUUGCUCGGAAUCACUGGGCGUAAAGGGUGCGUAGGCGGGUCUUUAAGUCAGGGGUGAAAAUCCUGGAGCUCAACUCCAGAACUGCCUUUGAUACUGAGGAUCUUGAGUUCGGGAGAGGUGAGUGGAACUGCGAGUGUAGAGGUGAAAUUCGUAGAUAUUCGCAAGAACACCAGUGGCGAAGGCGGCUCACUGGCCCGGUACUGACGCUGAGGUGCGAAAGCGUGGGGAGCAAACAGG